rnacentral:rRNA from 1 species
GACGAACGCUGGCGGCGUGCUUAACACAUGCAAGUCGAACGGAAAGGCCCUGCUUGCAGGGUACUCGAGUGGCGAACGGGUGAGUAACACGUGGGUGAUCUGCCCUGCACUUCGGGAUAAGCCUGGGAAACUGGGUCUAAUACCGGAUAGGAGCCAUUUUUAGUGUGAUGGUUGGAAAGUUUUUUCGGUGUAGGAUGAGCUCGCGGCCUAUCAGCUUGUUGGUGGGGUAAUGGCCUACCAAGGCGGCGACGGGUAGCCGGCCUGAGAGGGUGGACGGCCACAUUGGGACUGAGAUACGGCCCAGACUCCUACGGGAGGCAGCAGCGGGGAAGAUUGAACAAUGGGCGCCAGCCUGAUGCAGCGACGCCGCGUGGGGGAUGACGGCCUUCGGGUUGUAAACUCCUUUCGCUAGGGACGAAGCUUUUUGUGACGGUACCUAGAUAAGAAGCACCGGCUAACUACGUG